GGAGAGGUGACAGAGUGGCCGAUUGUGCCGGUCUCGAAAACCGGUGUCCUGCAAGGGACCGAGGGUUCGAAUCCCUCCCUCUCCG
rnacentral:tRNA from 1 species